CAAUAGCGUAUAUUAAAUUUGCUGCGGUUAAAAGCUCGUAGUUGGAUUUCUGCUGAGGACUUUUACUUUGAGGAAAUUAAAGUGUUUCAAGCAGGCGCACGCCUUGAAUACAUUAGCAUGGAAUAAUAAGAUAGAACCUUGGUUCUAUUUUGUUGGUUUCUAGAGCUGAGGUAAUGAUUAAUAGGGAUAGUUGGGGGCAUUCUUAUUUAACUGUCAGAGGUACAAUUCUUGGAUUUGUUAAAGACGGACUACUGCGAAAGCAUUUGCCAAGGAUGUUUUCAUUGCUCAAGAACGAAAGUUUGGGGAUCGAAGACGAUUAGAUACCGU
rnacentral:rRNA from 1 species